rnacentral:lncRNA from 1 species
CUUGUAGCCAGAUAUGUAAAAGUUUCAAAAAUGUAAUCGUGAAAAAUCAUUGACAUUCGCAUAUCAUAUUCCGAUAUUUUGAUAUGAAACUAUCGAAGAGACGGUAAUUCUACAAGAAAGGAUUUCCAUUUGCAAGUGUCAGCAAAUGACGAAGUUAAAAGGUAAACCAAACUGUCACCACAUGAUCCGAUGCCAUCAACACGA